GGCCUGGUAGUUUAGAGGUAUAAUACUUGCUUUGGGAUUUUUUCGCAAGUUUACGCGCGACUCCUUCUGCAAGAGGUCCAGGGUUCGAUUCCCUGCCAGGCCC